AACGAACACUGGCGGCGUGGUUUAGGCAUGCAAGUCGAACGUGAAAGUCCCUUCGGGGAUGAGUAAAGUGGCGAACGGGUGAGUAACGCGUGGGAAACCUUCCCUUCGAUGGGGGAUAACAGUUCUAACGAGCUGCUAAUACCGCAUACGACCCUUGGAUCGCAUGGUCCGGGGGUGAAAGGGGGGCGAUCUCUUCGGAGAGCUCCAGUCGAUGGAUGGUCCCGCGUCCCAUUAGCUAGUUGGCGGGGUAAUGGCCCACCAAGGCGACGAUGGGUAGCCGGCCUGAGAGGGUGUCGGCCACACUGGGACUGAGAUACGGCCCAGACUCCUACGGGAGGCAGCAGUCGAGAAGCUUCGGCAAUGGGCGAAAGCCUGACCGAGCGACGCCGCGUGAGCGAAGAAGGCCCUA
rnacentral:rRNA from 1 species